AGUGAACGCUGGCGGCGUGCUUAACACAUGCAAGUCGAACGAGAACGGAUUAUAGCUUGCUAUAAUUGUCAGCUAAGUGGCGCACGGGUGAGUAAUGUAUAGGUAAUAUGCCUCUUACUAAGGGAUAACAAAUGGAAACGUUUGCUAAUACCUUAUACUCCUUAUUAACAGAAGUUAAUAAGGGAAAGAUUUAUUGGUAAGAGAUUAGCCUGUAUUGUAUCAGUUAGUUGGUGGGGUAAUGGCUUACCAAGACUAUGACACAUAACUGGUUUGAGAGGAUGAUCAGUCACACUGGAACUGAGACACGGUCCAGACUCCUACGGGAGGCAGCAGUGGGGAAUAUUGCACAAUGGACGAAAGUCUGAUGCAGCAACGCCGCGUGGAGGAUGACACAUUUCGGUGCGUAAACUCCUUUUAUAUGAGAAGAUAAUGACGGUAUUAUAUGAAUAAGCACCGGCUAACUCCGUGCCAGCAGCCGCCGUAAGAC
rnacentral:rRNA from 1 species